GUGUGCAUUAUGGCUCUGAUGUUGGUGGGUUAUCGACUGGUUGCUUAUUGGGCAUUGCAUAGAGUGCAUUGAGGUGAACUUAUAUAGCAGAGGUCUCAUUUCAAGAAGAAAGAGAGUUUGAAGAGUUUCCUCCUUCUUCAACUGAGGAAUAAUAAUGUUUUUGAUUUAGCUGGGAAUAUCAGGAUGAGUGGAUGUGUUGACUUCCUUUUAGUUAUUGCUAACUUUGAA
rnacentral:misc_RNA from 1 species